GAGCCCAUGGCUUAAAAGUUAGAGCAUUCGACUUCUAAUCAACAAGUCGCGGGUUCAAUCCUCGGUUGGUGCA
rnacentral:tRNA from 1 species